UGGGGAAUAUUGGACAAUGGGCGAAAGCCUGAUCCAGCCAUGCCGCGUGUGUGAAGAAGGUCUUCGGAUUGUAAAGCACUUUAAGUUGGGAGGAAGGGCAGUAAGCUAAUACCUUGCUGUUUUGACGUUACCGACAGAAUAAGCACCGGCUAACUCUGUGCCAGCAGCCGCGGUAAUACAGAGGGUGGAAGCGGUAAUCGGAAUUACUGGGCGUAAAGCGCGCGUAGGUGGUUUGUUAAGUUGGAUGUGAAAGCCCCGGGCUCAACCUGGGAACUGCAUCCAAAACUGGCAAGCUAGAGUACGGUAGAGGGUGGUGGAAUUUCCUGUGUAGCGGUGAAAUGCGUAGAUAUAGGAAGGAACACCAGUGGCGAAGGCGACCACCUGGACUGAUACUGACACUGAGGUGCGAAAGCGUGGGGAGCAAACA
rnacentral:rRNA from 1 species